rnacentral:rRNA from 1 species
GACGAACGCUGGCGGCGUGCUUAACACGUGCAAGUCGAACGGAAAGGCCCUGCUUUUGUGGGUUGCUCGAGUGGCGAACGGGUGAGUAACACGUGAGUAACCUGCCCUUGACUUUGGGAUAACUUCAGGAAACUGGGGCUAAUACCGGAUAGGAGCUCCUGCUGCAUGGUGGGGGUUGGAAAGUUUCGGCGGUUGGGGAUGGACUCGCGGCUUAUCAGCUUGUUGGUGGGGUAGUGGCUUACCAAGGCUUUGACGGGUAGCCGGCCUGAGAGGGUGACCGGCCACAUUGGGACUGAGAUACGGCCCAGACUCCUACGGGAGGCAGCAGUGGGGAAUAUUGCACAAUGGGCGGAAGCCUGAUGCAGCAACGCCGCGUGCGGGAUGACGGCCUUCGGGUUGUAAACCGCUUUCGCCUGUGACGAAGCGUGAGUGACGGUAAUGGGUAAAGAAGCACCGGCUAACUACGUG